CUGUCUCUUUACGGAGGAGUCGAGCGUCGAUCUCACGGAUGGGCGCGCGGAGCUCGUCCAAUUCCACACUCGGCCCUGUUGGGGGAUGACAAGGGAGGACCUGCCCCUGCCGACGGCGCUCGGGGCUCGGCUGCUCCGGGCUGGAGCGCGGGGCGUUUGAUCAGGCCGGCGGGCAGCCUCAGCGCCCGGAGCCGCGCGGGUGGGCGGGACCGGCCUGGCCCAUGGCGUCUGUCCUGGAGGACCCCGGCUUCGAGCGGCCGCUCCGAGGGCACCGCGCCGCCGUGACCGCGCUGCACUUCAGCCCGAGCAGCGGAGCGCUGGCUUCCUCUUCUUUGGAUAAGUUUCUUAUGAUAUGGAAUUUGAAGCCACAGUCCAGAGCUUUUAGAUUUGUGGGUCAUGUGGAAGCAGUGAAUAGCGUACAGUUUUCACCAGAUGGACAACUACUGGCCUCAGCUUCUCAAGACCGUACAGUUAGACUGUGGGUUCCGUGUAUUCAUGGAGAAUCUUCAGUCCUAAAAGCCCAUACUGCAGCUGUCCGUAGUGUGAACUUCUCACAUGAUGGCCGCUUUCUAGUUACAGCAUCCAACGACAAGUCAAUAAAAAUAUGGAGUGUUCACCGUCAGCGGCUUUUGUUUUCUUUGUCCCAGCAUACGCACUGGGUUCGCUGUGCCAAAUUUUCACCAGAUGGAAGAUUAAUAGCAUCUUGCAGUGAAGAUAAAACUGUUAGAAUCUGGGAUACAACAAAUAAAGUGUGUGUCGAUAGUUUCACAGACUAUGAAGGAUUUGCCAAUUUUGUGGAUUUCAAUCCAAGUGGUACGUGUGUAGUUUCUGCGGGUGCUAAUCAUACGGUGAAACUCUGGGAUAUUCGAAUGAACAAGUUACUGCAGCAUUACAAAGUUCACAGAGCAGAAGUGAAUUGUGUAUCAUUUCAUCCUUCUGGUAACUAUAUCAUCACUGCUGCUUCUGAUGGCACCCUUAAGAUUCUGGACCUUUUGGAGGGAAGACUCAUAUAUACACUCCAUGGACACAAGGGACCUGUCCUUUCCGUGGCCUUUUCAAAAGGUGGAGAAAAAUUUGCAUCAGGCGGAGCUGAUUCUCAGGUCUUGCUGUGGAACACAAAUUUUGAUGCAUUCAAUCGCAAGGAAGUUCUUAAACACCACCUUAGAAGAACACAUACUGAUGAUCCACCCCACCUUCUUGAUAUUUAUCCAAGAUCACCUCAUCGCCACAAUGUGAAAUCUCAGUCAAUUGAGAUCAAUCCUAACUUUGAUGUGACUGAUUUACAAACGCUUGAUCCACCUGUCAUAGAUAUCGGUUCUUCCUCAUCUUUCAGUUCUCCGACAAGGACAGCUGGAUCUUCAAAUAGCAUUUCCACGUUCAAGGAUGAUGUGAACAGUGAAGAUUCCCAGUAUCCUCCAGCCUCAUUCUCUCCAACUAGCUCAAGAAGGAAGCUGGAGGAUGAGAAUGAAUCAGCUGUGUGUAGUACAGACAAGCAAACUGGCAUCUCCCCAGCUGUGGGUAAUGCUUUGGAGCAUAUAGUGGAGCAACUGGAUGUUUUGACUCUGCAAAGGUAUGGGUGCGGGGGAAUGAAACUGCAACAGUUUGGAGGAGGGGCCCUUACCCAGAUCCCACUGAAGUAAGCAGAAAGAUUCCCAUUGGGUCUGGCCUUUAUACAACAAAAUGUUCUCAGAUGCUUCUCAAGGAAAUCUCAGGAUGUCAUCCUCCCACUGUACUCGGCCUUGGUGAGGCCGCAGCUGGAGUACUGUAUCCAGUUCUGGGCUCCACAAUUCAAGAAGGAUGUGGAGAAGCUUGAGAGAGUCGAGGUGAGCCACAUGCAUGAUCAGAAGGCAAAAGAAUAGGCCUUAUGUUGAGAGGCUGAAAGCCAUGGGACUCUUCAGUCUGGAGAAGCGCAGGCUCAGGGGUGACCUGGUAGCAGCCUAUCUGUACAUAAGGGGUGUACAUCAGCAUCUGGGGGAACACCUGUUCACCAAAGCACCCCAAGGGAUGACAAGGUCCAAUGGUUACCAGCUCCUUCAACACCAUUUUAGGCUGGACAUAAGGAAAAACUUCUUUACGGUCUGAGCCCCACAAGGUCUGGAAUAGAGUCCCUCCAGAGGUGGUGCAAGUACCAACUCUGGACUCUUAAGAAAUGUUUGGAUGCUUAACUUGCUGCAAUCCUUUGACCCUAGCUGACUUCCUGCCCCUGGGGUAGGGGGCUGGACCCAAUGAUCUUCUGAGGUCCCUUCCAGUCCUAAUGUCUAAGAAAUCUAUGUAAAUAGUGGAGAGGUAAACAGUGGAAAUCUAUUAAAGACAAAAUACCCAAUUACAGGUGGAGGCACAUUCUUUACAAGAAAAACCCUCUCUCUCCAAUCUCUUAGUUCUAAUCCUCAAAGAUAAUUUACAAAACACUUUUCACAGAUGAGCCUAUGAACUUCACUUCAUCAACCUCCUGGAUACAAAAAAUCAUGGACUAAAUAUAGACAUUGGAUUUAUGACACAUAACAAUCCUAACAUCUGACUCCCCAGAUACCUCUCCACUAUUUACCUGCUACAUUCAUUCCCCUCCUCCCUGCCUCUCUCUCAGCCACUGACUCCUCAAUUUACAUCUUCACUGACUGGCUUUCUUGCAUGCAUACCAGCCUCUGGCCUCUUUACUAUUCAUUCCAUCCAGGAAGAGCACCUACCAACUGCAGAUGCUUCCUCAGCCUGAUGAAGGGUUUUUAAACCUGAAAUCUUGCUAAGAAAAUUUUUUCCAACUAUUUGAGUUGGUCUAAAAAAAGAUAUCGGAUUUACCCAAAGAACGUUGUCUGCCAGAAGAAAGUUAGGCAUUCAUGGUCUUUUGGCCCUUCCAAGGUUUGAAGGAGAUAAGCAGGAACUUUGAGGAUCUCAGUGCUGGCUACAUGUUAGCUUCAGGUGCCAUAACUGGUAGGUGCCUAAGUCUCUUUUUAGAUCUAGCUCUUAUAGAUGUGCCUAAAAUAAAUUAACCCAACUUUUCCCUCUCUUUUCUCAAAGGGACAGAAAUUGCCAGAAUAGGAAGAAAGACUUCUAUUAUAUAGUCAUCCUCAUCCUUUUGUGUUUUGUGUUGUAUUGAAACUUAUAUCAGGUUGUUGCCUUCUAAUCCCCAGAGGAAAUCCUGAUUCCUUUCAGAGAGAUAAAACAUUAGAACAAAGGGAAACUAACAGGAACUGUUGGUCUCUGUACUACAGAAUUUCACUGAAGCCUUUCCAGACCCUGAUGACGGAACCUAAAGUCUUAUAGUAUUUACUCCAACACCUGUAUUGAAUAUCAAAGUCUGUGGUAAGAUUAAUUAUUUAGAAGCAGGGCACACUUGCAGUGGGCUAUUGUUUAUUAGAACUCUCUGAACAACUGUCUCAGAGAGAAUUCUGUGAAGUUCAAAGUUGUAAAACCCUGUCAGAUAAUUUUUUCAAAGUAGGUAAAAUCCAGAAGAGCAUGUGCAAAAGGCCUGCUGCUUCCUGUUACCUUCAUCUUGCACCUCUCUGAAAAUCAAACGUUAAAGAUGCAAUACUUAGGUGGUGAAAAGGACAGAAUGCUCCAGGCAGCAUUUGUUCCUCAUGACAGCACCUGCUUAAUACUUCAGGAGCUUUUUAAUCUCUCUUUAUUAUUUUUACCCUAUGAUCUCUAUUGUGAGUGCAAAGCUCGGAGGUUGUGCUGCUUGUGUUAAAAAGCAUGAUUUGAAAGAGAAGGAAAACCAAUGAAAGAUGAAUAAAUUCUUAAUUUAGAGCCAAAUUCUGCAGUCGUUUACACUUGGAGGUAGUUCAGUUAAAAGGAGCUGCACCAAAUUAAUGGUGUUAUAGCUGAGAGCAGAAUUUAGCGCUUAAUUUUUAUUCAUUCAUAAUACCUGCUUUCAUUCACAAGAGUGUUUUGUAAUUUCAGUAAGGGAUUGUUAAUUUUUAGUUAAAUGUAGACAAGUAAAGCAUACUGGAAUAUAGUAUUUCAUCUCCAUUAACCUCACUUGAUUGUCUCAGUCCAGUAGGAAUGCCUAAUAUUUACAUUGCUACAAUAACCUACACUUGGAUAUGACCCAUGCUAUCAGAAAAGGUACUGAUAGCCACAGUAUCGGAGGAUAGCAGUGCCAGUCAUUUAAAAAGCUUGACUAAUGCUUGCUUUGCUUCAUUUAGUGAAUGCUAACAUAUUAUGAUGUGGCAGGGUUCUGAAGCGCAUGCUUAACUUUAAGCGUAGGGGGAGUCAUUGAAAUCAGUGGGAUUACCCAUGUUUAAAGUUUCCUACAUACAAUUAUAAGGUGUUUAUAUAUGUGCACAAGUCUAGAUUGUUGAUUAUAUUAUUACUAUAAACAUGAAUGAAUAUGUAUAAAUUAUUAUGUGGCAUAAAUGUUGGAAAUUUCAAA